rnacentral:tRNA from 1 species
AGGGCUGUAGUUAAUUAUAACAUUUGGUUUGCAUCCAAAAGGUAUUGGUUCCCAAUCUGCCUUA